rnacentral:rRNA from 1 species
AUUCCAGCUCCAAUAGCGUAUAUUAAAGUUGUUGCAGUUAAAAAGCUCGUAGUUGAACUUCUGUUAGGGAGCUGAAUGGCUUCGGCCAAUCAUGUUCUCUAGCAUCCGUCAGAAAACCCAGACCGGCCUUAACUGGUCGCCUGGGCGAUCUGACACUUUACUUUGAAAAAAUAAGAGUGUUCAAGGCAGGCUUUCGCCCUGAAUACACAAGCAUGGAAUAAUGGAAUAGGACUGGCGUCCAUUUUGUUGGUUAUUGGACAUCAGUAAUGAUUAAAAGGGACAGUUGGGGACAUUAGUAUUUAAUUGUCAGAGGUGAAAUUCUUGGAUUUAUUAAAGACUAACUUAUGCGAAAGCAUUUGCCAAGGAUGUUUUCAUCA